CUGGCAACUGUCAAGAGUAGAAAGAAAGAUGGGCCUUUUGAAGGUACAUCUGAUUUACUCAUUAUUGAAACUAAUCUAAUGAUUUUCUCUUCUUCUAGUUGUUGAAAAUUAUGUUCUAAAGCCAAUUGUCAGCCUGUUGAUGGUUGUGCUUAUCAUUGUAAUUGCAUAUGAAUUGUUAAAUUAAUAAAUGCUAUCUGAUUUUUUCAUCACUGUGU
rnacentral:lncRNA from 1 species